rnacentral:rRNA from 1 species
UACGGGGGGAGCAAGCGUUGUUCGGAUUUACUGGGCGUAAAGGGCGCGUAGGCGGCGCGACAAGUCACUUGUGAAAUCUCCGGGCUUAACCCGGAGCGGCCAAGUGAUACUGUAGUGCUAGAGUGCGGAAGGGGCUACUGGAAUUCUCGGUGGUAGCGGUGAAAUGCGUAGAUAUCGAGAGGAACACCUGCGGCGAAGGCGGGUAGCUGGGCCGACACGUGACGCUGGAGGCGCGAAAGCCAGGGGAGCGAACGGGA